rnacentral:rRNA from 1 species
UCCGGUUGAUCCUGCCGGAGGUCACUGCUAUCGGUGUUCGACUAAGCCAUGCGAGUCAAAUGUUCUUCGUGAACAUGGCGUACUGCUCAGUAACACGUGGAUAACCUGCCCUUAGGUCUGGCAUAACCCCGGGAAACUGGGGAUAAUUCCGGAUAGAUUAUAGACGCUGGAAUGCCCUGUAAUCCAAAGCUAUUGUGCCUAAGGAUGGGUCUGCGGUCUAUCAGGUUGUAGUGGGUGUAAUGUACCUACUAGCCUACGACGGAUACGGGUUGUGGGAGCAAGAGCCCGGAGAUGGAUUCUGAGACAUGAAUCCAGGCCCUACGGGGCGCAGCAGGCGCGAAAACUUUACAAUGCGGGAAACCGCGAUAAGGGGACACCGAGUGCCAGCAUCCUAUGUUGGCUGUCCAUAUGUAUAAAUCACAUGUGUUAACAAGGGCCGGGCAAGACCGGUGCCAGCCGCCGCGGUAACACCGGCGGCCCGAGUGGUGGCCACUAUUAUUGGGUCUAACGGUCCGUAGCCGGUUUGGUCAGUCUUCCGGGAAAUCUGACGGCUCAACCGUUAGGCUUCGGGGGAUACUACCAGGCUUGGGACCGGGAGAGGUAAGAGGUACUACGGGGGUAGGAGUGAAAUCUUGUAAUCCCUGUGGGACCACCAGUGGCGAAGGCGUCUUACCAGAACGGGUCCGACGGUGAGGGACGAAAGCUGGGGGCACGAACCGGAUUAGAUACCCGGGUAGUCCCAGCUGUAAACUUAUGCUCGCUAGGUGUCAGGGACGGUGCGACCGUUUCUGGUGCCGCAGGGAAGCCGUGAAGCGAGCCACCUGGGAAGUACGGUCGCAAGGCUGAAACUUAAAGGAAUUGGCGGGGGAGCACUACAACGGGUGGAGCCUGCGGUUUAAUUGGACUCAACGCCGGAAAACUCACCGGGGGCGACAGCAAUAUGUAGGUCAAGCUAAAGACUUUACCAGAAUCGCUGAGAGGAGGUGCAUGGCCGUCGUCAGUUCGUACUGUGAAGCAUCCUGUUAAGUCAGGCAACGAGCGAGACCCA